GGUCUUCUCAUUGCGCUCAAACCACUGUCCAGAUCCUGUCAAACGAGUCACCUGUCCAAACAUUGAUACACCUGAUUUACUGACCCCAAAGGCACUUUUAAGAGCCAAGCUCUAUCUAUCUAUCUAUCUAUCUAUCUAUCUAUCUAUCUAUCUAUCUAUCUAUCUAUCUAUCUCUACCUCUCGCAAUGCCAGGGGGGUCUACAAAAAAGAUUUGUCCCUUUUGUCAGGGUAUUUUAUUUUGCGCACAGAAGAUCUGCUUGAAUUGUAAAAAGGAGCAGCCGCUGAAGCAGCGACUCAAGAAGAAGCUUCAGAGAUUUGAUGAGAAGCGAGAGGAAUGGGUGGUUGGUCAUAAGAAGAACCACAACAUUGCAUCCAUCAAGGAUGAAGCAAUUGUCAUGCUUGAGAAACACCAUGCCAUUGGAUACAAGCCAGUUUUGCUUCUUGGCAAGGAGACCAAAAAGAAAGAAAACAAGUGUGAAAUAUUAACCCCUCGCUGCACACUCUCCACCUAUGCCCAGAAAUACCUUCAG